GAUGUGAAUGAAUGCCAGGCGAAUCCCUGWCAAAAUGGAGGUAUUUGCACGAACACCCCAGGAAGYUACAAGUGCAGUUGUGUUGGGCAAUUUACUGGACAACACUGUGAAACAGAACCCAGCUCGCCAGACAAAGUUGCGUAUGAAAGCCUUGGUUGCUAUCAAGACAGAGGUGGCGAGAAUCGACCUCUGCCUGAGUUAGUGAUAAACCUCAGGCCUGACAUUGACUGGAACGACUUGAAGAAAAGCGUGAUAGAGGUCUGUGCUAAAAAGACCAAGGAAAAAGGGUCAGUAACU